GUCGAGGAUCUUUGGCAAUGGGCGAAAGCCUGACCAUGCGACGCCGCGUGCGGGAUGAAGGCUUUCGGGUCGUAAACCGCUGUUAGGAGGGAAGAAGGCCGCUACGGCUAAUACCCGUGACGGUUUGACGGUACCUCCAAAGAAAGCCACGGCUAACUCCGUGCCAGCAGCCGCGGUAAUACGGAGGUGGCAAGCGUUGCUCGGAUUUACUGGGUGUAAAGGGCGUGUAGGCGGUUUUGUAAGCCUUGCCUUAAAGCCUCUGGCUUAACCAGAGUCUGUGGCGAGGGACUGCAAGACUUGAGGAUGGAAGAGGUGAGCGGAACUCCCGGUGUAAGGGUGAAAUCUGUAGAUAUCGGGAAGAACACCAGUGGCGAAGGCGGCUCACUAGGCCAUUUCUGACGCUGAGAUGCGAAAGCUAGGGGAGCAAACAGGAUUAGAAACCCUGGUAGUCC
rnacentral:rRNA from 1 species